GACGAACGCUGGCGGCGUGCCUAAUACAUGCCAGUUGAGCGCUGAAGGUUGGUACUUGUACCAACUGGAUGAGCAGCGAACGGGUGAGUAACGCGUGGGGAAUCUGCCUUUGAGCGGGGGACAACAUUUGGAAACGAAUGCUAAUACCGCAUAAAAACUUUAAACACAAGUUUUAAGUUUGAAAGAUGCAAUUGCAUCACUCAAAGAUGAUCCCGCGUUGUAUUAGCUAGUUGGUGAGGUAAAGGCUCACCAAGGCGAUGAUACAUAGCCGACCUGAGAGGGUGAUCGGCCACAUUGGGACUGAGACACGGCCCAAACUCCUACGGGAGGCAGCAGUAGGGAAUCUUCGGCAAUGGACGAAAGUCUGACCGAGCAACGCCGCGUGAGUGAAGAAGGUUUUCGGAUCGUAAAACUCUGUUGGUAGAGAAGAACGUUGGUGAGAGUGGAAAGCUCAUCAAGUGACGGUAACUACCCAGAAGGGGACGGCUAACUACGUG
rnacentral:rRNA from 1 species